rnacentral:lncRNA from 1 species
AGUUCAGAACAAACCACCAGCACCUAAGCCAUCUCCUCCUACAAAACCUAUUGUACCAAUUGAAUCUCCACCACCACCUUCUUCCAAAUCUUCGGGGUCCCAUUUUAAGCGCUCUCCGCCGCCACCUCAAUCAACUCCUCCGCCAUCACCACCACCACCACCACCUGUUUAUAGCAGUUCCCCGUCGCAUCAACAUAGAAGUCCACCACCUCCUACCCACAAAAUUUCACCUGUAACUCGUCACGCUCCACCUCCUCCACCUCCACCAAGUCCGGUAUAUUAUCACCACCCAUCACCACCACCUCCACAACCAGUAUAUUACGCGCCACCAACAUAUAAACCUCAAUCACCACCACCACCUCCACCACCAGUACAUUACGAGCCACCAACGUACACACCUCAAUCACCACCACCACCUCCACCAGUACAUUACGAGCCACCACCAUACACACCUCAAUCACCACCACCUCCACCAGUACAUUACGAACCACCAACGUACACACCUCAAUCGCCACCACCACCAGUAUAUGUGACACCGUCUUCACCACCACCACCAGUAUAUGAGCAUCCAAAACCUCCAACUCCAACUCCAUCACCACCAGCUGGGUACACACCUCCCCAGGAGCCAUCACAUCCUGCCCCACCUACCCCACCUUGUAACGAGACACCACCCCCACCACCUAGUACCCCACAUUGGCAACCAAAACCAUCUCCUCCCCCUACAUAUAACCCAUCACCAUCAUAUACCCAAAGCCCCCCGCCGCCACCUCCUACUUACACCUACUCUUCACCGCCGCCACCAUCAUCAUCACCUCCCCCUCCCACUUACUACUACUCAUCACCGCCUCCGCCGCCACCAUCACCUC